CUUGCACUUGCCCUCACAGCCACAGAUGCUGUGGUCUGUGUCACAAUCACAGGCAGUCACAUCAUUGUAUUUAAUGAUGAGGAUUUGAAACUCCGUACAAGUGCUCUUAAAUGCAGAUGUGAACAAUAGGGACCAAGAAACAUUAGUAGGCACCCUUCUGAUCGUUUACUGAAGACAUAAACCAGUGACACAACUCCAGAAGAUGUAUGUGCCAGUGUAGUGCCACCUGGAAGACAGUCAUUAAACAUACUGCAGAGAGAUGCCUGUAUCUCAGUCAUUUUCUAAGUGUUGCCAAAAAGAUGAAUGAAGGUGUUCUUUCAGACAAGGGCUAUUUAUCCUUUUCAUGUAGCUGUAGAAGAAGAAAUCAGUGGAAGACAGCUACCAUCUGAUGGUGUCAAACUAAGCCUGUACCAGACAGCUCCUCCCUGUCAUGAGGUGUCAUAGAAGAAGGAAACAUAAACUGAUGUUGAUAAAAUCUUUUCUAUGAGAAGCUCUAUCUCCAGUACACAGGCAGCCAAACAGAAGGGAAGACAAUGUGUGCUCCUGUGGUCAUGAAUGUCAGUCCUAAAACACGUGUGCUAUGGAGGAAACCGAGCCAGGCAGGCUCCACUCAAUUUAUUUCUGUUGGCUGACAGACAAAGG
rnacentral:lncRNA from 1 species